rnacentral:rRNA from 1 species
CCCGGAGUAACUUUUAUCUUUUGCGCGACGGCCCUUCCACUUGGUUACCGUCGGAUCAUUAAGGCCGGCUUUCGCCUCUGCUCGACUUAUAAGUCUUGCAGUCAAGCUUCCUUUUGCCUUUACACUCAACAACUGAUUUCCGUCCAGUUUGAGGAAACCUUUGCAAACCUCCGUUACCUUUUAGGAGGUUUUCGCCCCAAAAAAACUGCCCUCCAGACACUGUCAAGUGUCCUGCUUCAAGGAAUCACUUUAAGAUUUCUAGUUAUUUCAGGGUGGUCUCUCAAUGAUGAAAUUUCAUUCUCCCACCUAGACUGCACAAAAAUAACUGGAAACCAAUAUCAAGAUACAGUCAAGCUUCACGGGGUCUUCUUGUACUGAUGUAAGGAAAUCCGCAUCUUCACGGAUAUGUCUAUUUCACCGAGUCUCUCUCUGAGACAGUAUUCAUUUGAUUGCGCCUUUCGUGCGGGUCGAAACUUACUCGACAAGGAAUUUCGCUACCUUAGGACCUUCAGAGUUAAGGCCGCCGUUCACCGGGGCUUCAGUUAUCAGCUUUCACCAAUUCCUUUAACCUUCCGGCACUGGGCAGGCGUCAGCCCCCAUACGUUGUCUUACGACUUUGCGGAGACCUAUUUUUUUGUUAAAAAGUUCAAUGAAUUUGUUCACUGCGGAAUUUUUCUUUCAGGGAAAGAAAAAUACACCCCUUCUCCCGAAGUUACGGGGCUAUUUUGCCGAGUUCCUUAGAGAGAGUUAUCUCGCGCCCCUGAGUUUACUCAACUUACCCACCUGUGUCGGUUUACGGUACAGGUUAUUUUUAUUAUUAAGAGUCUCAAGCUUUUCUAGGAAGUAUAACAAAAUUCAAAUUAUUUAAUAAAUAAAUUUAUCAAAUAACGUAUCAUGUCUUCAUACUGACCGGUCCGCUUCGCGGCCGUCAAGUUUAAUUUUUUUUUUUCAAACCAUAUGUUGAACAUUUCCACUCUGAACCAUUUUAAGAGUUUAAACUUGUUGCCUUCGUCCCUUGUCUCAAAAUAAAAAUAAGUACAGGAAUAUUGACCUGUUAUCCAUCGAUGACGCUUUUCAGCCUAAUCUUAGGCCCUGACUAACCCUCUCUGGACGAGCCUUGAAGAGGAAACCUUAGGCUUUCGGGGCAUUAGAUUCUCACUAAUGUUUUCGUUACUCAAGCCGACAUUCUCACUUCUGUUAUGAGGUGAAGGAUUUUUGAAAAAAAAUGAUAGAUCGAACAGAAGUGAGAAUGUCGGCUUGAGUAACGAAAACAUUAGUGAGAAUCUAAUGCCCCGAAAGCCUAAGGUUUCCUCUUCAAGGCUCGUCCAGAGAGGGUUAGUCAGGGCCUAAGAUUAGGCUGAAAAGCGUCAUCGAUGGAUAACAGGUCAAUAUUCCUGUACUUAUUUUUAUUUUGAGACAAGGGACGAAGGCAACAAGUUUAAACUCUUAAAAUGGUUCAGAGUGGAAAUGUUCAACAUAUGGUUUGAAAAAAAAAAAUUAAACUUGACGGCCGCGAAGCGGACCGGUCAGUAUGAAGACAUGAUACGUUAUUUGAUAAAUUUAUUUAUUAAAUAAUUUGAAUUUUGUUAUACUUCCUAGAAAAGCUUGAGACUCUUAAUAAUAAAAAUAACCUGUACCGUAAACCGACACAGGUGGGUAAGUUGAGUAAACUCAGGGGCGCGAGAUAACUCUCUCUAAGGAACUCGGCAAAAUAGCCCCGUAACUUCGGGAGAAGGGGUGUAUUUUUCUUUCCCUGAAAGAAAAAUUCCGCAGUGAACAAAUUCAUUGAACUUUUUAACAAAAAAAUAGGUCUCCGCAAAGUCGUAAGACAACGUAUGGGGGCUGACGCCUGCCCAGUGCCGGAAGGUUAAAGGAAUUGGUGAAAGCUGAUAACUGAAGCCCCGGUGAACGGCGGCCUUAACUCUGAAGGUCCUAAGGUAGCGAAAUUCCUUGUCGAGUAAGUUUCGACCCGCACGAAAGGCGCAAUCAAAUGAAUACUGUCUCAGAGAGAGACUCGGUGAAAUAGACAUAUCCGUGAAGAUGCGGAUUUCCUUACAUCAGUACAAGAAGACCCCGUGAAGCUUGACUGUAUCUUGAUAUUGGUUUCCAGUUAUUUUUGUGCAGUCUAGGUGGGAGAAUGAAAUUUCAUCAUUGAGAGACCACCCUGAAAUAACUAGAAAUCUUAAAGUGAUUCCUUGAAGCAGGACACUUGACAGUGUCUGGAGGGCAGUUUUUUUGGGGCGAAAACCUCCUAAAAGGUAACGGAGGUUUGCAAAGGUUUCCUCAAACUGGACGGAAAUCAGUUGUUGAGUGUAAAGGCAAAAGGAAGCUUGACUGCAAGACUUAUAAGUCGAGCAGAGGCGAAAGCCGGCCUUAAUGAUCCGACGGUAACCAAGUGGAAGGGCCGUCGCGCAAAAGAUAAAAGUUACUCCGGGGAUAACAGGCUUAUCUUCCCCAAGAGUUCACAUCGACGGGAAGGUUUGGCACCUCGAUGUUGACUUUUCGCAACCUGGGGCGGUAGUAUGUCCCAAGGGUUGGGCUGUUCGCCCAUUAAAGCGGUACAUGAGUUGAGUUCAGAACGUCGUGAGACAGUUUGGUCUAUAUACGAUGUAAGCGUUAGAAUAUUGAGAGGACUUUUCCAUAAUACGAGAGGACUUGGAAGAACGUACCCCUGGUGUACCAGUUCUUAUACCAAUAGGAUGCGCUGGGUAGCUAUGUACGGAAAAGAGAACUGCUGAAAGCAUCUAAGUAGGAAACUUACCUCAAGAUAAUUAUUCUCCAUUAGACUCCGGUUAGAUAACCCGGUUGAUAGGUUUUAGGUCGAAGAUUUGUAAGAAUUGGAGCCAAGAAAUACUAAUGAUCAAUUGUUUUUGAU